UACCUAAUGGUAAUGUUGUUGUUCCUACGAUUUACUGACCUCUGAACUCCUAACGUUUGCGAUUUUAAGUAAUGCUAAUAAAUAUUUGGGUAUCAACAUAAACCAAUUAUGUUUACUAUUACUUCUAAGAUAAAGAGUUCAAAAUGUCAAAUUCCCAAUUUUGUUAAAAUAACAAAAUCUUGUUGUGAUAUAUGUAUAUGUUUGGUUGUAGAAUUUAAAUUUAUUUUUAGUUUAAAAAUGUCAUCAACAAUAUUUGUUUUGCUCGUGGCAGCUUCUAUUGUCACAUUUGCUGCUGCAGAGUAUAAUAAUUAUGAAAAUAGUUAUUCUAAUAACAGAAAUGAUCAAGGGUCGAUUAAAAACUUAGAAUGGUCUGACUACAGGUACAGUAUCGAUGAAGGCAACUGCGAUGGCAUAAAGUUGGCUGAAGAAGAUAUAAAAAAGAAUAGCGAUCCUUACACAAGCAAAAAGACCACGUAUACCUGGACCGGUAGAGAAAUGUUUCAUGUUACCUGUAUUCGUGUGCAAAAUAGAAUGCCCAGAAACGAAAAUGCUGCUGAAGCAAGGAUAUCGGAUGGUGGUGUAGGAAAAGGACACGUGAGAAUUGAGAUGCUUUCCAAAAAUGGUCAGGCUACUAAUUUCCACAUAGAAAUUUGGGGCAAAGAAUCAACAAAGAACAAUAACGUUGCUUUUUUAACAUAUUCAUCGAAUAUUUUAUAUGCAAAUGGAAAAAAAUACUGCGAGUGUCAAUAAAUAUCUAAUAGGUACUAUAUAUUUUGUGUAACCUCAAACUUCUUGAAAAGUCAGUUUACUCUAACUAUGAUAGAUAGAAUUAAUUUUGUUUUUUAAAAGUAAAAUAUUCUAUUUAUUAGCUAUUUCAGUUUAAUAGUUUGGAAAAAUUAGAGCUACUUAUCUAUGUUAUAUAUAUGCAAAUAAUUAACUUAAAAUGUUAUAUUUAAGCCGUCAGCCAAGAAGAUUUGAUCUUUGGUUAAAUAGUUAGUUUUUAAGAUUUAAAAUAAAUAGACUAUGUUUUUGUAAAAACAUUAUAUCAAAUAAAGAAUUAAGAUUUUAAAGUAAA